AUCGAACGCUGGCGGCAGGCCUAACACAUGCAAGUCGAGCGGAUGAAGCGAGCUUGCUCCUGGAUUCAGCGGCGGCCGGGUGAGUAAUGCCUAGGAAUUUGCCUGGUAGUGGGGGAUAACGUCCGGAUACGGGCGCUAAUAUCGCAUACGUCCUGAGGGAGAAAGUGGGGGAUCUUCGGACUUCACGCUAUCAGAUGAGCCUAGGUCGGAUUAGCUAGUUGGUGGGGUAAAGGCCUACCAAGGCGACGAUCCGUAACUGGUCUGAGAGGAUGAUCAGUCACACUGUAACUGAGACACGGUCCAGACUCCUACGGGAGGCAGCAGUGGGGAAUAUUGGACGAUGGGCGAGAGCCUGAUCCAGCCAUACCGCGUGUGUGAAGAAGGUCUUCGGAUUGUAAAACACUUUAGGUUGGGGGAUAGGACAAUAAUUUAAUACCUUACUGUUUUGACGUUACCAGCAGAAUAAGCACCGGCUAACUUCGUG
rnacentral:rRNA from 1 species